rnacentral:rRNA from 1 species
UACGUAGGUGGCAAGCGUUGUCCGGAUUUACUGGGCGUAAAGAGCGCGCAGGCGGUCAGAUAAGUCGAAUGUGAAAGCCCCCCGGCUCAACUGGGGAGGGUCAUUCGAUACUGUUCGACUCGAAGGCAGGAGAGGGAAGCGGAAUUCCCGGUGUAGUGGUGAAAUGCGUAGAUAUCUGGAGGAACACCGGUGGCGAAGGCGUCUACCUGGCCCAACAUUGACGCUGAGACCCGAAAGCAUGGGGAUCAAACAGGA